rnacentral:misc_RNA from 1 species
GAGCCCCUGAAGUCAUUUUGGGUCUUCCAUAUGAACAAAAGAUUGAUUUAUGGUCUCUUGGCUGCAUUUUGGUGGAGCUAUGUUCUGGGGAAGUGCUGUUUCCAAAUGAUGCGGUUGUAAUGAUCCUUGCACGCAUGAUUGGGAUGCUGGGUCCUAUUGAUUUGGAGAUGUUGGUGAGGGGGCAGGAGACGCCCAAGUGUACUUUACAAAAGAAUACGAUCUCUAUUAUAUAAAUGAGGAAACAAACCAAGUAGAAUACAUAAUCCCAGAGGAGCCCUCUUUGGAGCAUCAUCUUCAAACUUAUGAUGCUGGAUUCAUCGACUUCGUGAGAAGCUUGCUCGAGGUCAAUCCUUUGAGGCGUCCAACUGCAAGGGAGGCACUAGAGCACCC